rnacentral:rRNA from 1 species
UACGUAGGGUGCAAGCGUUGUCCGGAAUUAUUGGGCGUAAAGAGCUCGUAGGCGGCUUGUCGCGUCGGCUGUGAAAACCUGGGGCUCAACCCCGGGCCUGCAGCCGAUACGGGCAGCUAGAAUUCGGUAGGGGAGACUGGAAUUCCUGGUGUAGCGGUGGAAAUGACGCAGAUAUCAGGAGGAACACCGGUGGCGAAGGCGGGUCUCUGGGCCGAAAUUGACGCUGAGGAGCGAAAGCGUGGGGAGCAAACGGG